rnacentral:rRNA from 1 species
AGAGUUUGAUCCUGGCUCAGAACGAACGUUGGCGGCGUGGAUUAGGCAUGCAAGUCGAACGAAGACGGGGUAGCAAUAUCCCGGACUGAGUGGCGAAAGGGGCAGUAAUGCGUGGGUAACCUACCUCUGGGACGGGGAUAGCCUUCCUAACGGGAGGGUAAUACCCGGCGACGUAGCCGAGGGGCAUCUCUUGGCUACCAAAUGAAUUUCGCCCGGAGAGGGACUCACGUGCUAUUAGCUAGUUGGCGGGGUAACGGCCCACCAAGGCAAAGAUGGCUAGCGGGUGUGAGAGCACGACCCGCGCCACUGGCACUGAGACACUGGCCAGACUCCUACGGGAGGCUGCAGUCGAGGAUCUUCGGCAAUGGGCGCAAGCCUGACCGAGCGACGCCGCGUGCGCGAUGAAGGCCUUCGGGUUGUAAA